AACGAACGCUGGCGGCAGGCCUAACACAUGCAAGUCGAACGCACCGCAAGGUGAGUGGCGCACGGGUGAGUAACACGUGGGAAUGUACCCUUUGGUUCGGAAUAACGUCUGGAAACGGACGCUAAUACCGGAUGAGCCCUACGGGGGAAAGAUUUAUCGCCAAAGGAGCAGCCCGCGUCUGAUUAGCUAGUUGGUGGGGUAAAGGCCUACCAAGGCGACGAUCAGUAGCUGGUCUGAGAGGAUGAUCAGCCACACUGGGACUGAGACACGGCCCAGACUCCUACGGGAGGCAGCAGUGGGGAAUAUUGGACAAUGGGCGGAAGCCUGAUCGAGCCAUGCCGCGUGAGUGAUGAAGGCCUUCGGGUUGUAAAGCUCUUUCGCACACGACGAUGAUGACGGUAGUGUGAGAAGAAGCCCCGGCUAACUUCGUGCCAGCCGCCGCUGUAAGAC
rnacentral:rRNA from 1 species